GGGGGAGUGAAUCAAGGAAGUUGGAGUGUGGGGGAGUGUUUGUGCCGUUUGGGGAGUUUUGGUUGUACAAUUUGACUAAGGGGGGAACUUGGGGUAAUGCAUUUCGAUUUUGGUCAGUAUAGGUGCCAAAUUUUCUCUCUAGUUUUUAGGAGUUUUGGUUUUUCUUUCUUUUUCUCUUAGAAUCGAACUACAAUCGACCAUACGUGCAUUUUUUGUCAGGUUUUUGUUAGUUUUUUUGAGCUACGAAAUUGUCCAUACGUGCCUUUUC
rnacentral:lncRNA from 1 species